rnacentral:rRNA from 1 species
GACGAACGCUGGCGGCGUGCCUAACACAUGCAAGUCGAACGGAGUUAAGUGCUUCGGUAUUUAACUUAGUGGCGAACGGGUGAGUAACGCGUGAGAAACCUGCCUUUCAGUGGGGGACAACAGUUGGAAACGACUGCUAAUACCGCAUGAUACUUUUGGGGGCAUCCCUAAAAGUCAAAGCUUUAUGUGCUGAAAGAUGGUCUCGCGUCUGAUUAGCUAGUUGGUGAGGUAAUGGCUCACCAAGGCGACGAUCAGUAGCCGGUCUGAGAGGAUGAACGGCCACAUUGGGACUGAGAUACGGCCCAG